GUAGCGCAAUGGUUAGCGCGUUGGACUUCUAAUCCAAAGGGCGUGGGUUUGAAUUUUACAUGCG